GCUUGCGUGGCGGAAUUGGCAGACGCGCCGGCCUUAGGAGCCGGUGGGUGACCGUGCAGGUUCAACUCCUGUCGCAAGCACCA
rnacentral:tRNA from 1 species